UACAGAGGUCUCAAGCGUUGUUCGGAUUCAUUGGGCGUAAAGGGUGCGUAGGUGGCGCGGAAAGUCGGGUGUGAAAUUUCGGAGCUUAACUCCGAAACUGCAUUCGAUACUGCCGUGCUUGAGGACUGGAGAGGAGACUGGAAUUUACGGUGUAGCAGUGAAAUGCGUAGAUAUCGUAAGGAAGACCAGUGGCGAAGGCGGGUCUCUGGACAGUUCCUGACGCUGAGGCACGAAGGUCAGGGGAGCAAACGGG
rnacentral:rRNA from 1 species